CAGCAAAGAUGGGAUAAAAAGGACACUCCUGAGAUACCAGCGUGGACCAAGCGGCUGCAGGUCAAAACCCCGAGGACAAGAAGGGGAGAAAUAAAGCAAAGGAAAGGGGAAAAAAGGCUCCAUAAAACCGCGGUAUUUUUGCUCCAUAAUUCUUGUGCACGAAGACCCAAAGAAGAAGACGGAUU